UCAAUCAUUACCAUGUAUAGUUAAAUCAUUGCUAGCCAUCCCACUGUAGGAAUCUGUUCUAGUAAUGUCUGGUGUCUCACUCAUCAUGACCGGAAUGUGUAAAACUAAAGGGAGUAUUACACUGUGAAUGUGUAAUACUAAGUAUGAGGCCACUGCUAGUAGAGGAGGAGAAACUAGGUUUGAAAUGUUAAAGUCAGAACCAAGUGUGUGGAAACAUUUUUAGAUUAUUUAAAACCAUAAGAUUCAGUUUUCAUCCCAUUCAUUCAAAAUGUUAGUGCUCUUAUAUAGAAAAUAAUUGACAGUUUAACGUAUAUAAUUGUACAUGUACCAAUUUUUUUCUAUUUUAGUGGAAAUAAUAUAUUUGAUAAAAUUAAAAUAUGUAAUUUCAUUUGCUUAUUGGAACACUUUAGUAAAGCAAGUAAAUGAUAGACUUCUGAUUUGGAUGUAUGUUAAGGACGUAUUGUAUUAUACUUAUCUAACAAGAGAAAAUUCAGAUAAAAACUAGUAGAAUAGGAAACAAAAAUGACUAAAGAAUUGCCAUCAAUAAUUAGCAAUUAUUUUGAUGUUGUGAUGUGAAUUGUGACAUAAAAAUGUUCUGAUCACACAAAAGCAAUUAUUCAUUUUAGGGGAAAAAUAAAUUUUAAACAAAUAAUGAGUAGGCUCUUGGUUUUUUGAUAAACUAAUUAAUGAAAAAGAGUGAAUCAUGUAAAAAUACUGGAAAGAUACCUGAAUGACUGACUGACUUGAAACCAGAUUCUCUAACCAGUGAAACAUAACAAUUUCAUAACACAACAACAGUGGCAUUGAUGAUUGGUUAAUAAAUGGUUUAAAUUUAGGAUACAUAAGGGUAGUUACUGCACAAGAAAACUUGUAUUGGAAUCUCAAGUUUUUAUUUGAGAGAAGCUUGGUCACAUUUAUCAACUCUUUAGAAAAUUUGCAUCAUAUUUCUGAUAAUAGGUUGUAAAGUUCACAGUUGCCACAAAUUUUGAACAAUUGUGCUAGAGUAAAGGACUAAAUUAUCCUCCUUGUCUCUGUAUAGGGAACCUUAUAAAAUCUUGUCAUAUGAAAAGUCAAGCAAAGAGUACUUAACAGUAAAUAUAGGAAAUAAGGUAUAACAGAAGUGUUUCAGACAGUUAAUUAAAAUAAAUGGUUUUUUUCCCUAGGUCACGUGAUAUUUAUAUUUGUUAGUAUUCUGUUGAUUUUUUUUUUCAUUUCAAAUAUGUAUUCACUUUCAUUUCUAAUUUUUAUUCUUUCUUUUAAAUCCUCCAAUUUUUAGAAGCUUUAGGCCCCUCAAAACCUAGAUUUGCCCUUGUUAAGGGACUAGAGCAUGGAUGAAGGUGGGAUCUAAUGGGUUUGUUGGGGGAUGGUUUAGAGGGACUGUGUCUUUCUGAAGAGGUGGCACUUGAACAAAGAUCUGAUUAAAGGCACAGAGAGUGUUUGAUGGAACGAGCAGUUCAAGUAGGAUUCCUGUAAACUUAAAGGCCCUCUGUAGGAGAAGUCUGGUAUAUUAAUUAAAAGGAGGCAAUGAGGCUGGGGGCCUGGGCUUGGAGAUGAGUUUGAUAAGGAAAGCAAGGACCAAAUUACAUAUGACCUAGAUAGGAAUUUAAGGAAUUUAGAUUUUGGUUCUAGUUGUAAUGGGGUUACUGUUGGAGAAUUUAUCAUAUUUUCAUACUGUCAGUGAAACUCUUUGAUGUGCUUAUUUGGAGACGGAGGCCUCUUUCAUCUUUUAGGUUUAUCAUCCUGUUAUGCUUUAUUUUCAAGUUCCAGCUAUAGCAAGGAGAAGUAACCUGCAUACCUGCUGUCUUAAAAUACCAAAUGCAGAAGGGCACAUACGUUACUUAUAAAAUUCAUUUUCCUUUGAUGAGAAUUUAGUUACAUGUAAUUGCAAGGAAGCCACAUACCAAGCUAUAAUGCUGUUACUGUGGAUGCUGAGAAUGAAUUUUGGUUAGGAAAUUUGGUAUCACUGCCACGUUAAUACUUAAUGUCUUAGGGCUUCAGAUCUGAUUUAUUCUAACUUAUACUUAGUAUUCCAUUUUAAGGUUGUACUAAGGUUUAAUAUUUAACCAUCCUCUUAUUGCUAGAUUAAUUUUGAAGUCCUUGGUGUCAAAAGCAAGGCUGUGACAAGCAACCUUGUUACAUUUCCUUGAACAUUGUUAGUUGAACAAAAAAGUAUAAUUGCUACCUAAUAGGGUAUAAGCAUUAAAAAAAACUGAACUAAGUACUGUGAAAUUGUUCUUCAAGCAUUACUCUCAGAGAGUAUAUAUUUAUCAGUGAAUAUGUUUAUUUCACUACCCCCCUCAUUAAUACUUGAUUUUGUUUUUGAUAAUCUUUUAACUGAAAAAUGCUUUCUCAUUGUUUUGAUUUGCAUUUUCAUUAUUGGUGAGGCUGAACAUCUUUUUGUAAGUUUCUGGCAAUUAUUUCUAUGAAUUGUUUAUAUAUUACCAUUUUUUUCUCUUGAAAUUGUUUUUUUAAGAAAUCUGGUUAUUUUAAUCCUUUGGAUCUUAUAUCUGUUUCAAGAAUAUUUUCCUAGUUUGUUGCCAGUUAAACUUUUUAAAUGGUGUUUUUAUAUUGUAUGUUUCUGUAUUGUUUCAUAUAGAAGUGAGAAAUUUUGAUAUCCUGAAAUUUAUAUUACUAGUUUCCAAACUAUUCUGUAGAAGCAAAUAUCACACAAACUUUAUAAACUACUUUUAAAAAAAUAUAUUUAUUUUUUAUUUUCUCCUUUUUGUUUAAAAAUUUUCAGAUCCACAGUUGAGAAAAUAGUACAGUGAACACUCACCAGUUGUUGACAUUUUGUUACUAUUUUGCCACUACUUUCACUUUAUAUAUUUCUAUUUCUAUUUAUAUCCAUAUCUACAUUGACAGAUACAACAUAAACUUCUUUUGGUUACACAUUGAAAAACACACAUUUAUGUUUCCUGAUACUUUAAAUACUAAGCAUGAAUAAUGUAAAAAAUAUUUUUUUUCAUUUAUGAGCACAAUACCAUUAUUAUACCUAUGAAAAAAGGUUGGGUUUCAUUUCUCCCUUGAUACAUUACUCUCAUUUUUAUAUUAUGUAAAUCUUAGCUCUCAUAAUGGUCUGUGCAGGGUGCAUAGUUUUGAACCCACAUUUCCCAAAGAACUUUGGGACAUCUGUCAGUGGAUACAUGACAUUGUUCCAAGAACAAACACUAGAAGGCUUUCACAAUGCAAUACAAAGCUCAGUUACAGAAAUGCAUCCUAAUAUUUGGAAACUGAUACCUCUUUUACUAAAGGAGGAAACUUUAGGGGAAAAAACAAGUGUGAUGCUGAAUGAGGAAGGAGAUAAAUCAACAAGCAAAAAAAAAAAGUUUAAUACUUUUAUGUAUGAAAGACUUUGAAGAUUAGAUAGUGAUUAGAUAUGGUCAAUAAAAUAAAAUCAGUUAUUUGUGCAAUAUUGCCAUGAAUCAACAGUGUCAGUUCUAGGUAGUUUUUGCCAUAAGCAUCUUUGAGAAAUGUAAAAAUGCUCACCGCGUUGUCAAUAAUGUUAAUAGUCAUUUGUGUAGUUAAUGAAUCAGUAAAUGUGUCUCAUCUUGAGCAUUUUGUAUUACAGAUGAUACUAGUACUCAUUUUAAGUUUGGGGCGUUCUUUUUAGUUUUAUACAUUUAUGAUAAGUUAACACUUGUUGGAAAUUGUUAGUGAUUUAGCUUUGGAUCGAAAAGUUCCAAUAGAUCUUUUAGAAAUUUCUCAUUCAACUACUAAUCUUUAUGCUUCAAGAUUUUCUUGAUAUAGUAUAACCAAAACAAUAUAGAAGUAAGUUACUGAAACUGAUAAAAACUCAGUGAUUCCAUAUUUUUAUAUUUAUUAGUCUUAACUUGGUUUAUUAAUUUUAUUUAUGAAAAUAUAACAUGAAAUCUGUACUCAAAAAUUUUAUGCUAAAAACAUUGUUCCUAUGUUUUAAAUAUUGGAGUUCCAUAUAAAAUUUCAUUUGGAAAGGGUUCAAUUAGGGGAAAAUUGUUGAAGAUCUCUCUUACAUUGUUAAUAGGGUAAAGUAAACAUUUUCUAUUUAUUUAGUAUUAUAUUUUCUGUUUUUUUUUUGUCAUGGAUGGCUGGUUACUUUUUUAACUUCAGAGUAAGUGUAGUACUAAUUUAUUUAUAUAGUAAUAUAUAUUUAUAUGUAGUACAUCCUCAGACAUUGCUCCUGAGGGUUUCUGACUUCUCAGAACCCAUUUAUUAUAGAAAAUAGCAAUUCUAGCUCCAAAGUGAUUAAAAACCUUAUAAUAAAAUAAAAGCUCCAAAGAAUAUGAUCUGGAUAGUAAAACAAUUUAAAAUAUUUUUUGAUAUAACUAUUUUAAUAAUAUAUACUUAACUUUUUAAGAGGUGGUAUGUUAUGACCAUAGUUUUAUUUUGGAUAAUUUCGUGUUUCCAGUUUGAAUCUCAGUUACUAUAAUAAAGUCAUGCCAUUAGAAGAGAGAGUUUAUAGUUUAACUCAUCUCUGACUUUUAUAGAUAGGUCAGCUAGAUUCCCUCCUUUCUCACACCCUCUAAUACCUAUUAAAACCAUUAUUAUCCUCCAUUUUAUAAAUAGGGAAGAAAGUUUCCUUUCCCUUACCCAUACUUAUUAUCAUCUACAAACAAAAGGCUUUAUUAGGGAUAUUUUAAGGCAUUAUUUCUGUAGUUUGUAAUACAGGGAAAAUUGGUGUAUUUAUUGUAGUAUUGACUGUGCUUUUUAAAACUAUAGUCCUGCCCUGCCCCUCCACUUGAUUUGGAAUUACUGCUUUAUGACUGUAAGGGCAGUCUGUCUUUGAUAUAACUCCCAAUUGAUCACCAGGGUUGACUGACUAAACUGCUAUCUCUAAAAACAAUCUUGGGAAUGACUAUUGGGUUUUCUCUUUGCAUGUUUUGGCUACUCAUAGUUAAUUUGCUAGGAUACCACAGUACUCUACUUGGUCUAAAAAGAUGGAGUAAUAACACCAUCUUGCUUAUUGGGCAGAAACGUGUAAAAAUGGGCUCUGUUUUACUAUAGAAUCAGCUUAAUUGGAAAAAAGUAGACAUGCUAAUGGUUUUGAAAAUAUGAUUCUGAAGUUAUCUCUCUGGCUUGACUAUUUUUCUUACAGCAUUAGUGGCAGAUUGAACGCUCUUGUAUGAAGUGUAGAUAUGUUGUAAUCUGAACUGGCUUUCCAUUUUGUCUAGUAAUUUAGAGAGAAUACCACUCAGAAUUCCUCACUUCUCUCUUGGGACCAUUUCAUUGCACCUUGAAGUAAAUAUGCAGAGAGGAAAUAACUAGACUGAUUUCUGUAAGUUAGAUUACACUAGUUGGGGAAUAUUUUAAUUGUGAUUGUCUGGCUAUGUUAAGGUUAAGGCUGUAUUGGUUUUGCUUUCAGCUAAGCUACAAAAUGGAAAGAUUGAAUUGCUUAUCUAUCUAUCAACACAUGCUGAAACUUUUUUGUGAUAGACAGAAGUUAACAUAGCAAAUUGAACAUAGCUGGGUGGUUCCCCAAAUACACCCUUCUCCUUCCUCUCUUUCUUUUUUUUCCCUUUUUCCCCCCCCCCCCUUUUUUUUACAUGAUAAGUGGUUUUCCUCAGAUAUAAGUAAGUUCAUUCUUAAUGGAGCUGGUUUGCAAAAAGAGAGGACUAUGGAAGCAAGUCAGAAUGAGAUUAUUCUGCUAUUUUUAAAUGAGCAAAAGGAUGUUUAUGAGAUGAUGGCUUAAGGUAGUAUUGUGUACUGAGAAUUGUCUUACCUAAAACCUAGAUGUGUUGAUUUCCCAAUAGUGUCUCUGAGCUAUGAUGGAUCAUACAUAUCUGGAUCAUUCUUUUUAGUUGACUAAGUUGAUACAUUCAGUUAAAAAUGUCAAAAGACAAGUCAAUAAUUCAUUAGCUACUCUUUUAGAAGGUGAAAAUAUAUGUGCCUUAUCACUAGUAAAGUUUAUUUUUUACCAUUGUGUCAAUCUUCUUAGAAAGUUUAUUUUAAACAUCAAAUUAUAAAAGUUUCCUGAGCUUUUUCUCUGUCUCUCUGUCUCUCUCUUUUUAAUGGGGUUUGUGAUGACUGUACUGGUAGAGAAAUCCAUUGGAAACUGAGUACCAUUACCUUUUUCCUUUACCUUCUGACCAGGAAACAUCAUAGACUAUAUAUAUUUAUUCUUAAGAUAUCACUAUUACUAAAGUCUUUUUGCAGUUUCUCUUUGAAUAAAUGGAUAUGUAAAAGUAAUUUGCUAUAAAGUAUUUCUGGAUUUUCCUUUAAACAAUUUUUAAAAACAUACUUUGCACUUAUAAUUUUGAACUAAAAUAUUAUUAAAAACACAUAACAUUGGUUUAUUUAGAUACAUUUUUAUUAAAGAAAAUUAUGUAAAAGGUGGAAGUGCAUUGUUAGAAUAAUUGAAUGUCUAGCUUUGGUUAAAUGGCUGUUUAUUAGUGUACUAAAACUUAAACAUCUCUGCAUUCAGUCUUUAUUUUUCCACAUCUUUUUCUUAUGUUCUAGGGCUGUUUGUUGGAAGGGGAUAUAUAAAAAGUUAUCAUUAAUAUAUUUUUAACCAUUGUCCACUUGAAAAUCAGUGCUUAAAUUUAAAGCAAAAUUUAGUGCUAUUUAAGUGUAGAAUUCUUAAUUGUAUAGUUCCCUCUUCUGUCUUUUCAGAGCUAUUGCACCAUAUUACAAUUUUCAAAUUGAUGUCAACAAGUGUUCAAAAAUUACCAGGAGACUUAAAUUGCUUUUGAUUCUCUGGUGUUUAAAGGACUCCUGUGUCUGCUACCUGUAUAUCUAGUGUUUCUUUUGGGGUUAGAAUUUGGAAUAGGCAUUAUGAGAAGUUAUUUGUAGGAAAUAGGAGAGAUUGGGGUGCAAAAUAAGUGAUACAGUGAAGAAGCAUACAGACAAUUUUAGAAUAUAGGACAGCUAAUGUGGGGAAUGCCUGGGUGGCUCAGCGGUUGAGAACCUACCUUUGGCUCAGCGGUUGAGCACCUGCCUUUGAUCCAGGAUCAAGUCCCACAUUGAGCUCCCUGUGAGGAGCCCGCUUCUCCCUCUGCCUAUGUCUCUGCCUCUCUCUGUCUGUGUCUCUCAUGAAUAAAUAAAUAAAUCUUAAAAAAAAAAAAAAAAGAAUAGCUAAUGCGGUUUCUCCAGGUCAGUGGCAUGUAAAAGAGGGACAUGGGGAGUUACUACUAAGUAAAAAAAGAUGUAAGAAAUAUAACAGCCACAUACAAAGUGGUUCAUGUUUGUUUUCUUUUUAUUUUAUUUUAUAUAUUUUUUAUUUUUAAAAAUCUUUUUAAGAGAUUUUAAUUUAUUUUGAGAGAGAGUGCAUGAGAGAGAGAGAGAAUGAGCGGGAGUAGGGGCAGAGGGAGAGGGAGGAGCAGACUCCCCGCUGAGUAGGGAGCCUGAUGUGGGGCUCAGUUCCAGGAAACUGAGAUCAGGACCUAAGCCACAGGCAGAUGUUUAACCAGCUUUGCCACCCAGGUGUCUCUGGAUUCUUUUUAGAUCAAAUUAUCUAGAAAAGACAUUUUUGAGAUGAUACUAGAAAUUUAAAUUUGGUUGGUAUUAGUUAAUACAAUGGAAACUUAAAAAAAAAAACGAUUUAUUUAUUUAUUUAUGAGUGACACAGAGAGGCAGAGACACACAGGCAGAGAGAGAAGCAGGCUCCCCGUCUCGAUCCUGGAUUCUGGGAUCACACCCUGAGCCAAAGGCAGACACUGAACCACUGAGCCACCUAGGUAUCCCAGUACCAUGGAAACUUAAUUUGAUGAGUGUGAUGUAGUGAUUUUGUGAUUAUAUAAAGCAGUAGGUUAAUUAUUUAAAUAUACAUGAUAUGGUAGGUGGGUAGGAGGGGGAGUGACAUUAUGUCUAGCAUUUACUUUAAAAUACC
rnacentral:lncRNA from 1 species